GGGCAGGGCCGCCUCUCACCCGGCUUCCCGCCUAGUGAGCGCACCUUGGACGCCUGCGGCUUUUCCGAGCCGAAGCUCACGGGCUGUGGCCGGCUUCGUUUCGUGUAGUGCAGCUCCGCGACCGCCCGUGGCCACACCAUUCGGGGACUUCGUGCUUUACGAUGGGGGCGCAGUGGCCUGGCACACGCAGCACCCCGGGCCUCGAACCCUCGCGCUGGCCCCCCUGGACCCGCACAGUCAGGGUACCUGCCCAUACCGAUGGGGUGGGGACCACCACGGAGCCUUUCCUUGGCCCCGCGGCUUCUGUUCCUUUCGAGACGGACAGCGCCCACCCGGAGGAAAGCCUGACAGACGAGACUUCGCAAGGAUCAGCGAGAAGGCACAUGUGAAGCUCACCCAGGUUCUGUCUGUUUCUGCUCUCGUAUAAAGACCCCAUAUGGAGCCAGUGACAACGAGGGCCAUGGGGAAGGCAGGAACCUGCCAGUUCAGGGAGGCCCAUCUUUCUAGAAGGUUAACAGGAACUUCCAGCCUACUUAGUGACCGGCUGCUGGAGGACGGUGAGCGGCCCCUGCUGUCCACGUCUCCACGGGGGUCACCAAGCACACUCACAGGGUCCCCCUCUCCACCUGGAGCAGAGAAUUUGGAGGAGCCCGUCUUGCUGUCUUUUCUGAUGUUGUUAAACUAUGCUUGGGCCUGCCCGUUGCUCAGAGGAGCUUUCUACACAGCUGGACUUCUGAGGUGGGACUUGCCAUGUGCUAACGCCAGCACUCGGAGCAGUCUCUGCCACUGGCAACGUCCUGUCCUAAACAUCCCCAAUGUGACCUCUCUCCUGAAAGGCCUGUGUGCGACUUAUCUGUGAAGCUGGAAGAAAGUUCUGGAACUUCCCCUUCUCCUUUGGUGCAAAGUUACACUAACUGUCAUGAUGUUGUUGAUUUCCAUUUUUUUUUGUUGUUCUUGUUGAGACGGAGUCUCACUCUGUUGCCUGGGUUGGAGUGCAGUGGCGCGAUCUCGGCUCACUACGGCCUCCGCCUCCUGGGUUCAAGUGAUUCUCCUGCUUCAGCCUCCCAAGUAGCUGGGAUUACAGGCACCUGCCACCACAGCUGGCUGAUUUUGUAUUUGUAGUAGAGACAGGGUUUCACCAUGUUGACCAGGCUGGUCUUAAAUUCCUGACCUCAGGUGAUCUGCCCACCUCAGCCUCCCAAAGUGCUGGGAUUACAGGCGUGAGCCACUGUGCCCGGCCUUGAUUUCCUUUUUAAGCAGAGUUGAGUCUGUCCACACCAGUGCUGCCUGGGCCUUCCUGAGCACCUGUGGCUGGCAUCGCUUCCCAUCUCUCCUCCCUGUGGCAGGCAGCAGUCUUGCUAUUCCCGGCACCUCUGCAAAGCUGCCUUCAGAGCUGCAUCUCGGAAGCCACUGCACAGCCACAAUGCAUGCUGAAUGCAUCAGUAUGCAGAAUUCACUCACAUGUCAUACAGUUAGUCAAAAAUGUCGAGGCCCUGCCAGGUGGAGAGAUGGGGGAGAAUAUGGAUCCCUUCAUGAGUCCAAGCCGGGGGUACAAUCCCCUCAGGCCCCCUCCUCCUCCUGUGCUCCAGGUUUUCUAUUUCAAGGCUGCUGUUUACUUCCUUACUGUAUGUCAGCUCAGUCAUGGAUUUUAAACGAUGCAUAUAUAUAUAUAUAUUUUGCUUGUUUGUUCGUUUGUUUGUUUGACAUGGAGUCUUGCUCUGUCACCCAGGCUGGAGUGCAGUGGUGUGAUCUCAG
rnacentral:lncRNA from 10 species